AUGUUGCCAACAGACCUAUUGAAAGCCUGGAAUGAGUGGGAGAAUGAGCUCCCCAUCCUUUCUGAAGUUACACUUCCACGGUGCUAUGUUUCAGCAGAUAUGGACAAACCCAAUGUUACAAGACAAAUUCAUAUCUUCUGUGAUGCUUCAGAACAAGCGUAUGGCUCUGUUUCAUACCUCAGAACUGAAGAUGAAGAGGGUAAAAUUCAGCUUGCAUUCCUGAUCGCCAGAUCCAAAGUUGCCCCCAAACGCAAACAAACUGUUCCGAGACUCGAGCUAUGUGCAGCUCUUACUGGUGCCCAACUAUCCAAGUUGCUAGAAAACGAACUCACAAUUGAUAUCAACCGAGUGGUCUUGUGGUCUGAUUCGACCACAGUUCUUUCAUGGAUAAAAUCUGAAUCCUGCACCUUUAAAGUCUUUGUAGGGACUAGGAUAGCAGAAAUUCAAGACCUAACUGACCAACAUGAAUGGCGAUAUGUAGACUCUCCUAGAAACCCUGCAGAUGAUCUCACAAGGGGGCGCCACCUAAUAGAGCUUGCAACACCAAACAGAUGGAGUCAAGGCCCACCAUUCUUACUACAAGCCGAAUCCAAGUGGCCAGCUAUGCCAACCUUUAAAACCCCUGAGGAUGAAGUGGAAAAGAGGAAAAGUGUAUUCUGUGGUGUCUCAAGAAUGUCAAAUCCCUUAGAACCCAGUGAGUACAGUUCCUGGAAAGACCUAGUUGAAGCCACAGUCCAGCACAGCCAAAGUGACUCAAACCAAUCCAGCUCACCUACAGCUAAAGACUAUGUGACCGCAGAACGUCUCAUCUUCCAAAAUAUUCAACAAACCAGCUACCCAGAUGAAUAUGAACAACUAAAAGCUGGUAAGCCUGUAUCCACUACAAGCCGCUUACUCACUUUAGCCCCAGAGUUUGACGAAUCCAGUCAACUUAUACGGGUCGGAGGACGUCUACGUCGGGCUGAAGGUCUAGAACUCCAGACAAUUCACCCAAUAGUUCUGGAUCCUCACCAUCCGGCAACCAAACUACUCAUACAGGACUAUGACAGUAAGUUGUGUCACCCCGGACCGGAACGGGUAUUUGCUGAAAUGAGGAGAAAUGUGUGGAUACUAAGAGGUCGUGAGGCAAUCCGAAAAUCCCAACACAACUGCAUAGAAUGUCGUAAGUGGAAGGCAAAACCUCAGUUCCCUAAAAUGGCUGAUUUACCUCCAACACGUCUGAGACUCCACAAACCUCCCUUUUACAGCACUGGUAUGGAUUGUUUUGGGCCCUUCCAAAUCAAGAUAGGCAGACGCUGUGAAAAAAGAUGGGGUAUAAUCUUCAAGUGUCUCACGACUCGAUGUGUACACAUUGAGCUCCUCACAUCUAUAGACACAGAUUCCUUCCUUAUGGCUCUGAGAAGAUUUAUAGCACGCCGAGGCACUCCCUCUGAACUGCUGUCUGACCAGGGCACUAACUUCCAGGGUGGAGAGAGAGAGCUAAGAGAGGCCCUAAAAAAUUGUAGUCAAGAGCUUCAACAACGUCUCGCCAAACAGAAAAUCACAUUCCUCUUCAACCCUCCUAAUGCUCCUCACUUUGGUGGCAUCUGGGAAAGAGAGAUCCGAUCCCUUAAAAAUGCCCUUCGUACAGUAGUAGGUGCACAAACAGUGACAGAAGAAGUGCUUCAAACAGUGCUUAUUGAGAUAGAGGGAAUUCUCAAUAGUAAGCCCCUUGGAUAUGUCUCUUCCAACGUAGCUGAUUUGGACCCGGUUACCCCAAAUCUCCUGCUCAUGGGGCGGCCAGACAGCUCUCUACCUCAAGUGACAUACCCUGCUAACGAACUCAUAGGACGACGCCGAUGGAGACAGAGCCAAGUCCUCACUGAUCAUUUCUGGUCAAGCUUUGUGAGACACUACUUGCCUAACCUCCAACUGCGACACAAAUGGCAUACAGAAACUAAAAACCUUGCAGUUGGAGCUGUCGUAAUGUUGGUUGACCCUCAACUACCACGGGCCCUCUGGUUAAUCGGGAGAGUGGUCAGGACAUUCCCUGGAGCAGAUGGACAAGUAAGGUCUGUAGAGGUCCAAGUUAAGGGUCGACUAUAUACACGGCCUGUUACCCGUCUCAUUACCCUACCAGAGAUUGCUGAUGAGAACGACACCAACGUCAAACUCACAGGCUCUUAA
rnacentral:lncRNA from 1 species